GCCUUGUGGGUGUCAUCGGGGCACCUGUAGUCCCAGCUAUUGGGGAGGCCGAGGCAGGAAGAUAGCUUGAGCCCAGGAUUUCAAGGCCAGCCAGGAAAACACAGGGAGUCCCUGCUUCAA
rnacentral:sRNA from 1 species